GAAAUGCGAUAAGUAGUGUGAAUUGCAGAAUUCAGUGAAUCAUCGAAUCUUUGAACGCACAUUGCGCCCUUUGGUAUUCCUUAGGGCAUGCCUGUUCGAGCGUCAUCUAAACCUUCAAGCCCUGCUUGGUGUUGGGUGCCUGUCCCGCCUCCGCGCGCGGACUCACCUCAAAUCCAUUGGCGGCCCCCGCGUCGGCCACGAUCGCAGCAGAAACGCGAACUCGUGAGCCCGUCCGGGCGGCUCCCAGAAGCUACACCCACCCAGUUUGACCUCGGAUCAGGUAGGGAUACCCGCUGAACUUAAGC
rnacentral:misc_RNA from 1 species